rnacentral:rRNA from 1 species
UACGUAGGGACCGAGCGUUGUCCGGAAUCAUUGGGCGUAAAGAGCGUGUAGGCGGCCACUUAAGUCCUGCGUGAAAUCUUGCGGCUCAACCGCAAGCGGUCGUGGGAAACUGGGUGGCUAGAGUGCGGGAGAGGAGAGUGGAAUUCCUGGUGUAGCGGUGAAAUGCGUAGAUAUCGGGAGGAACACCUGUGGCGAAAGCGGCUCACUGGACCAUAACUGACGCUGAUGCACGAAAGCUGGGGGAGCAAACAGG